UUACAUAUGAAGUUUGUAGAGUCAUACUAAAAAUUUCCUGUAUUUAUUACAGUAUAAAUAUCAGUGUUUAUGAGGAUCUUUAGAAAAGGGGUCUUGAGAGUUGAGGAAUUAAGAAAAUGAUAAAAUGUGGAGACAAACAUCCCUGGUGCUUCUGUGUAAAUAUAACUAUAAAAGCCCCCUUUGUCCGGCGUACUAUUAAAGUGAGUUUGGGAUGGGGUAGAAGGCACUCUAGUCUCCCUGCUGCCCUGCUGCCCUCUUGGAGUUGUCAUUGCUCUCCAACCCAAAUCAUUGUCCGCUGCUCCAGAAGAUGCAUGGACCUACCAAGGUCACAGCCUCAUGCACCCGAUCCCUCAACCCGGAGAACUGCACUGAAGUUGAACUUGAAUGAGAAUGGAUACAACUGACAAUAAAGAAGUCUAUGCACACUAAUAAUAAAAGGUGGGAUUUGCAUCUCACGUGUGCAUGAGGGUCCCAGAGGCCGUAUUUCUCUCUGAGCCACUGUGUAAAUCAUCUGUAGAGAUGAGAACAGGCCCUUAUUCAGUGUUCAUCAAGUCUUACCUACACAGCAGGAUAUCAGUCUAACCCUGAAGCACCCUUGCUCUAACUAUGCCCCAGGAUUGAGGUGUGAAGCUUCUAGGCUGUGCAUGUAAUUCACAUAGUCACAUGGGGAAUGCAGCUACAAAUGAUCAUUGCCACGUCACAGGGAGAAGAACAAUUCGCAAAUGCAAGUUUUAAGUCUCAGGCGUAUUUCUACUGAAAAGCAGAGUCAUUUUUGGCUUACUGCUCCUUCUAGAUGAGUUAAUUUGGCAAAGUGCUAACUAAGCCCGAAUCUCUGGUGUGAAAGCUGAAACACAUUUGAGUCCAGAAAAGCAGGGGCUGUCUGUAGAUCAAGGAGCCUUCUGCUUUGGGAUUGUUGAGAAAAUUAAAUCAGCAUCUGAAGACAAAGAGCGAGCACUCUGUAAGUUCCUGGGUUUUUGGUUUUGUUUGGUUUUCAACGGUCUUGCUCUGUUGCCCAGGCUGGAAUGCAGCAGCAUAAUCACGGUAGCCUCAGACUCCCAGGCUCAAGGGAUUCUCCGACCUCAGCGUCCCUAGGAGCUGAAACCACAGGUCUGAGCCAUCAUGUUUGGCUAAUUUUAAAAAGUUUUUUGUAGAGAUCGUGUCUCCCUAUAUCGCCCAGGCUGGUCUCAAACUCCCGGCCUCAAGUGAUCCUUCAGCUUCAGCCUCCCAAAGGGGUGGGAUUACAGGCAUGAGCCCCUGCGCCUGGUCUCUGUAAGUUCCUGUUAAACAAAAAUAAAUAUAAAUAUGCAAGAGUGAUCUUCCUUCUUCUCUCCUCACCUUGUGGAGGGGAUAAGGGAAACAGCGCUUCUGCAGACAAACAUCCAACUCUGUGUCCUCCUGCACUCCACCUUGCAGGUCCCCAUCGCCCUGUUCUUGCGACAUCCUGGGAAAGCGACCCCGGUGGCCGAGCCCAGUGUGCCUUCCUGGACCCAUCACUUGGCACCCUGCACAUGCUCCUGACGGCAACUCUACUAGAUAUUAUUCUUCACGUAUUUGCAAGAAUCCUAAAGAUUGCUGACUUGAGCUUCCAGGUAUCCUAAAGUCUGGUUCAAAUGUAGUAAGUCCCAACCGUACUCUGUGCAGCACCUGGGCACUGCUGUGUGGUGGAAUAUCCUGUCCUGUUCUGGUUAUUGAUCACUGAUCAUUACAUAAGGAGCUUCUACACAUGUGCACCAUUAAAGACCCACCACAUCAUUAUGCUCUUGGAUUCCACUGGCCAGGAAGUUGGCAAGGUGGGGAGGCUGGCUUAUCUCUGAUCCCAAUGUCUGAGGCCUCAGCUAGGAAGAUGCACGUGGCUGGGGGCUUCCACACACUCCUUCUCCCAUGCAUCUGAUACUGGGACUGCCAGACUUAGGUGCUGAGCUCAACUGGGCUCUCAAAGUCCUGGCCUCUCCAGGUGGCAUGGGCUUCUCUGGGGUCCUGUGAGUGUCCUGAGAGCCAGGCAGGAGGAGAAUCCCUCUAACGAUCUCAUCUCAGAAGUCACAUGGCAUCACUUCUGCCUCACUCUCUUGGAAGGAAACACAAGCCCACCCAGAUUCAAGGGGAGAGGAAAUUGACCGCAUCUCUCCAUGGGAGAACUGGCCAAGGACCAGCAACAGUUAUUAAAGCCAUCCCAUGACAUUUUGCUAUUUGAUCAAUGAGCUUAUACUCUACGAUGAGGGCGUCUGGGUCUCCUAUUUGACCUGGUGCAUCCAGGGUGUGUGGUGGCUUCAAUCCUCAGCCACACCACAGACAAGUGUGGGUGUAUCUCCAUCAACAGCAUUCCCGCAUGUUAGGACAAGCGGUUUCUCCUGGGCUUCUGCUACCGUAAUUCUCAACGUCUCUGAAAGGAGAGCUUAGUCCAUUCUCACAUCCCUAUAAAGAAAUACUUGAGACUGGGUAAUUUAUUUUAAAAAAAGGUGUAAUUGGCUCAUGGUUCUGCAGGCUGAACAGGAAACACAGCACUGGCUUCUGCUUCUGGGGAAGCCUCAGGAAGCCACAAUCAUGGUGGAAGGUGAAGAGGGAGCUUGCAUGUCACGUGGCAAAAGCAGGAGGAAGAGAGACAGAGCAAGGUGCCACACGCUUUAAACAACUAGACUUUGUGAGAACUCGCUCUUGCCAGUACAGCACCAAAGGCAUGGUGCCCAACCAUUCAUGAGAAAUCCACCCCCAUGAUCCAAUCACCUCCCACCAGGCCCCACCUCCAACACUGGGGAUUAUGUUUCAAAAUGAGAUUUGGGCAGGGAACACACAUCCAAACUAUAUCAGAGAUCAGGGAAACUUUAAGUAAAUUACAUGAUUCUUCCCUAAUUCUACUGUCCUGUCCAUCAUAUUGAAAUGGAAGGAUAAUGGUCCAAACCCCAGAUUCCCAUAAUUCUUGCUUUCUCACAUUCAGGGGUAGAUGGAGGAGCAGAUGACAGUUCCAAGCCACCAUGGAUGGGGCUCAGCUGGGAGCCAUGGCCCCAGUCCCCAGUAUCUGAGCCAAUCGCUCAUGUGCCUCCGUGUGCUGAAGUGAGCUGCCACUGUCCAGCUCCCAGGAGAUAGCACUCCCCCAUGGACUGGCCACCAGCCACCUCAUAUGUACCUGGCUCUGCCCCUUUAGCACCAAGCAGAAGACCUGUCAGGUAUCAGGUGCUCAGUGCAGGCUUUUCCAUGUGAGACAUCUUCUCGGCCAGGGCCCUC
rnacentral:lncRNA from 1 species